UACGGAGGGUGCUAGCGUUACUCGGAUUCAUUGGGCGUAAAGCGCGCGUAGGCGGCCUCGCAAGUCCGGUGUGAAAUCCCCCGGCUCAACCGGGGAACUGCGCUGGAAACUGCAAGGCUUGAGUACGGGCUAGGGAGGUGGAAUUCCCAGUGUAGAGGUGAAAUUCGUAGAUAUUGGGAGGAACACCAGUGGCGAAAGCGACCUCCUGGACCGAUACUGACGCUGAGGCGCGAAAGCGUGGGGAGCAAACAGG
rnacentral:rRNA from 1 species